AGCACUACCCCUUUGUCCAAGUGCCUUAUAACAUGUCUUUAUAACUGGCUGUGUAAGAAUGAAGAAAAGCUGUCCAUCUUCUGAGAAGGAAGCAGCAUGUGCCAUCCUUCUGUCAGAAAACACCAAAGAGAUGAAGAAAUGAGAAAUCCAGAAACCAAAGACCUUGCUCUUUUGUCAAACAGACUUGGUAGAGCAGAGUUGCAAAAUCAGACCUUUGGGGGCUUGCGUGUUUCUCCUCUUACUCCCUGGUCUGGUGAUUUCCUGCUUGGUCGUCUUUUAAAACCCAGCCAUCUGAAUCCGAGAGUUGCUUCUUCAGCAAGGCCUCCCCUGACUCCUUCAGAUGUCUAAGCACCACCCCUACUCUUCUGCUGCAGCAUCUCCACUUGCUUUUGUCCUUCAUCUCCCUGAAAUUAUUUGCUUACUCAUCCAUCCAUGUCAGUUGCAAAAGCAUGACUUCCUCUAGUCCAAAGGCCAUUCAUGUUCAAUAUGUUAGCACUCGGAGCGUCUCCAGUGGUUGUUUCAAACAAGGCAAAUGAGUUCAGUUGAACUUUAUAUGUUCUGCCCUCCGACUGUGACUGUUAUUUACUUCCCUCCAAACAAAAUGUAAUAAUAAAAUGACUAACUGAA
rnacentral:lncRNA from 1 species